ensembl:snoRNA
UCCAUCCAGUUUCUUUUCCCAUCAGAUCUGACCCCUGGUCUUGGUAUUGUAAAAGGAGGAAUAGAAAUACCAAAACUGGCAUCACAGGGCUCAGUCUGCCAACUAGUGCAAGAGCUAGUUUCAAACAAGG